rnacentral:lncRNA from 1 species
UAAAAACCCUAGAUCUAAUUUUGUAUUUCACCUUGCCGAUUCAUCUCUCAAUGAAUCCUCUGGGUCAUUUGUUUCAUCUAUUGCUUCUUCAUCUCUGUAAUUUUCCAUCAUGUAUCCGUAGUAUUUCUUGAAUCUGACUCUCUUCCACGGAGUGGCCGCAUUCAGUUUCAUCGGCUCAUAUCAAGAACGAUUCUCACCUCGAGGGACUUAUUUAGUGCUCCGAUCUGAUGUGUAAGCCGAGUUGAUUGGUAACGAUGUGUAAGCCGUAGAUUGGUGGCGAUAGAAAUGAGAUACCAGCAGGCAAUGACGAUUAAGGUAAGUAUAUCGACCCCUGUAGAUAGCCUCCAGAUUACCCACUUGAUAUAGGUAUGUCGAUUUCUUCAUCUCAAAGGUGUGUUUUUCAUAUAAUUAUCUCUCUUCGUUUUAACUUUCUUUCAUCGAUUUGAUGUUAAAUAUGCAUUUGUUUUCGGUUAGGGUUUUUAGAAUCCUCUAAUAGAUUUGAUGUUGAAUGUUCAUUUGUAAGUUGAAACCAAGUUAGAGU